rnacentral:rRNA from 1 species
UACGUAGGUGGCAAGCGUUGUCCGGAUUUACUGGGCGUAAAGAGCGCGCAGGCGGUCGUUCAAGUCGCGUGUGAAAGCCCCCGGCUCAACUGGGGAGGGUCACGCGAUACUGAUCGACUCGAAGGCAGGAGAGGGUAGUGGAAUUCCCGGUGUAGUGGUGAAAUGCGUAGAUAUCGGGGAGGAACACCAGUGGCGAAGGCGACUACCUGGCCUGUUCUUGACGCUGAGGCGCGAGAGCGUGGGGAGCAAACCGG